rnacentral:rRNA from 1 species
CAGUCGAACGGUAACAGGUCUUCGGAUGCUGACGAGUGGCGAACGGGUGAGUAAUACAUCGGAACGCGCCCGAUCGUGGGGGAUAACGGAGCGAAAGCUUUGCUAAUACCGCAUACAAUCUACGGAUGAAAGCAGGGGACCGCAGGGCCUUGCGCGGACGGAGCGGCCGAUGGCAGAUUAUGUAGUUGGUGGGAUAAAAGCUUACCAAGCCGACGAUCUGUAGCUGGUCUGAGAGGACGACCAGCCACACUGGGACUGAGACACGGCCCAAACUCCUACGGGAGGCAGCAAUGGGGAAUUUUGGACAAUGGGCGAAAGCCUGAUCCAGCCAUGCCGCGUGCAGGAUGAAGGCCUUCGGGUUGUAAACUACUUUUGUACGGAACGAAAAGGUCCUUUCUAAUAAAGAGGGCUCAUGACGGUACCGUAAGAAUAAUCACCGGCUAACUACGUGCCAGCAGCCGCGGUAAUACGUAGGGUGCGAGCGUUAAUCGGAAUUACUGGGCGUAAAGCGUGCGCAGGCGGUUAUAUAAUACAGAUGUGAAAUCCCCGGGCUCACCCUGGGAACUGCAUUAGUGACUGUAUAGCUGGAGUGCGGCAGAGGGGGAUGGAAUUCCGCGUGUAGCAGUGAAAUGCGUAGAUAUGCGGAGGAACACCGAUGGCGAAGGCAAUCCCCUGGGCCUGCACUGACGCUCAUGCA